GACGAACGCUGGCGGCGUGCCUAAUACAUGCAAGUCGAGCGAAGCGGCGGAUGGGUGGGAAACGCGUGGGUAACAUGCACUUAAGUCGGGGAUACCAGUUGAAAACAGAUGCUAAUACAGGAUAAUAACGGAUGGAGCUGAGAUGAAGUAGAUAGUUGGUAAGGUCACGUCUUACCAAGGCGAUGAUGCAUAGCCGAGGUGAGAGGCUGAUCGGCCACAUUGUGACUGAGACACGGCCCAAACUCCUACGGUAGGCAGCAGUAGGGAAUCUUCCACAAUGGACGAAAGUCUGAUGGAGCAACGCCGCGUGAGUGAAGAAGGUCUUCGGAUCGUAAAGCUCUGUUGUUGGGGAAGCGUUAAUCAACCAGAAAGUCACGGCUAACUACGUGCCAGCAGCCGCGGUAAUUC
rnacentral:rRNA from 1 species